CAUUAGAUGGCUGAAAGUAAGCGAUGGUCUCUUAAACCAUUUAAUAGUAAUUUACAUCUACUUCUAAUGG
rnacentral:tRNA from 1 species